AACGAACGCUGGCGGCAUGCCUAACACAUGCAAGUCGAACGAUGCCUUCGGGCAUAGUGGCGCACGGGUGCGUAACGCGUGGGAAUCUGCCCUUGGCUUCGGAAUAACAGUUAGAAAUGACGGCUAAUACCGGAUGAUGUCCCCCUGAGAGAUCUUGGGGACCAAAGAUUUAUCGGCCAGGGAUGAGCCCGCGUAGGAUUAGGUAGUUGGUGGGGUAAAGGCCUACCAAGCCGACGAUCCUUAGCUGGUCUGAGAGGAUGAUCAGCCACACUGGGACUGAGACACGGCCCAGACUCCUACGGGAGGCAGCAGUGGGGAAUAUUGGACAAUGGGGGGAACCCUGAUCCAGCAAUGCCGCGUGAGUGAUGAAGGCCUUAGGGUUGUAAAGCUCUUUUACCAGGGAUGAUAAUGACAGUACCUGGAGAAUAAGCUCCGGCUAACUCCGUG
rnacentral:rRNA from 1 species